rnacentral:rRNA from 1 species
GACUGUAACUGACGUUGAGGCACGAAAGUGUGGGGAGCAAACAGGAUUAGAUACCCUGGUAGUCCACACUGUAAACGAUGGAUACUAGGUGUAGGGGGUAUUAAGCCUUCUGUGCCGUCGCAAACGCAGUAAGUAUCCCACCUGGGGAGUACGACCGCAAGGUUGAAACUCAAAGGAAUUGACGGGGGCCCGCACAAGCAGUGGAGUAUGUGGUUUAAUUCGAAGCAACGCGAAGAACCUUACCAGGGCUUGACAUAUACAGGAAUAUUAUAGAGAUAUAAUAGCUCUUCGGAGCCUGUAUACAGGUGGUGCAUGGUUGUCGUCAGCUCGUGUCGUGAGAUGUUGGGUUAAGUCCCGCAACGAGCGCAACCCCUGCUUCUAGUUGCCAGCACGUAAAGGUGGGAACUCUAGAGAGACUGCCGGUGAUAAAUCGGAGGAAGGUGGGGACGACGUCAAAUCAUCAUGCCCUUUAUGUCCUGGGCUACACACGUACUACAAUGGCUAUAACAAAGGGAAGCGAAACAGUGAUGUGAAGCGAAACUCAAAAAAGUAGUCUCAGUUCGGAUUGAAGGCUGAAAUUCGCCUUCAUGAAGCCGGAAUG